CAUUGGGCCGUCCCGUAUGCACAGGAAUACGGGUCCAAAUAUUUGCUAGUAGUAUUUAUCAACUAAAAAGGCCCAGUGCAUCAGGUUGGGCCAAGAGCAGUGCAUCAGGGUCGGCCCUAUUCGGCCACUCCUCCGGCCUGCUGCGUUACCGUGUUGGGCCAGUGCGGAAAACGCGAGCAUACGCACCUCCCCUCCCGUAGCCUAAUCGAUCCAACUUCCUCCACUUAAAAAACUAAAAAAAUCCAUCCAUCGAUCAGGUCUGUGUAGACUAGACGCGUACAGAUCCGGCCCCUCCAUACGCCUCGCCCUCACGUACACAGGCGGCGGCGGCGGCGGCAGGGCACCGGCCGCCGGACGCCGCAGGCCACGAACCCCGAGUCCUUUGGUGAUGACGCGAUGCACGCGAGCGACGCCGCACGCCGUCGGCCGGUCCAGCGCUCCGUAAUUUGGCAACCUUUCCAAUCUUGAGUCCUCGUUUCCAUGCGUAUCAAAGGCCACAAUGAAAAGCAUCAUCACAGGAUGUUCCGGAACACAUAAAUAGGGAAGAGGAGAUUCAAUAUCAUCCGGGCAAGAGAAAAUUGAUCAAACGUACUAAAGGUAAUUUCCAAUUUUUUAGCCAUUUAAAUACUUUCAUGGACAUUUUAUUAUGUUUUACUAGAAAGUUUAAUUCCAUUUUUAUCUUGUACAUUAUGUGCCCUGCUGUCGGAUGAUGUAUUCUGGAAUUUCAAAAUGCAAGACAACCUUUUCAAGUAA